rnacentral:lncRNA from 1 species
AUGCAUUUCAUAUCCAUUACUCCGAAUUCGACCUAUUUUGUGAUAUUGGUCGAUUUAGAUACCUGCUCUAACAUCUUUUUAAGCCUUUCCAACUUGUGUUGAAUUUUGAACUCCAAGGUCAUAAGACUGCCUUUACUAAUUACUUUACUUAGCAUAAUUGCAUAAAAGCAAAUGUAUGUGUUCUUUUGGAGGAUCCAAAUGAGAAAAAGAAUGUAGGGAACUGAAGUAUUGUUAAAUAAAGCAAAUUUCUGAUUGAUUUUCGAUCUUUAUGACU